ensembl:lncRNA
CAAUAGGGGAUUAUCACGCUUCCUGGUUCCGGUGGCGGGAUUUGUCUUCGUUGUGCAUGAACACUUCCGGCGCACUUCAACAAUGGCUGAAACAAAGGCUAGAUGUCACUGCUCGGUUCCACUUUGUACAUCUAACAAACAACACCAACCCUACUUAAGUUUUCAUGGAUUCCCGACUGAAUUGAGUCUAAGGAAGAAGUGGAUUCAAGCGGUUCGCCGGGAUGAAGGGCCAAACUUUAAAAUAAAACAAGUGGAACAACUGGGGACUGCCAAGAAGGGGUUCUGUUUAUAAAAGAGCAUCAACUCGCUUAGGCCAUGACGUUCACCCAGCCCUUCCUCUGGAGCAACCGCUGCCCUGUGAAUAAGAGCCGAUGGAGGAGAUCGCAGCUUCGGUGGUGAUGACAGAAAAUGAUUUCGGUUCUGCUCCUAAACCAGGUGCACUGGAUGCUGCUGCUGUACACAUACAGCAAUUGGAAGAAACAGUCAAGGAGCUGAUGAGAGCAGUCACAGCUGAAAGUGGUUCAAGUGCCUUUUCACAGAUUUUGUGUCUCAGACGAGGACAUCCUUUUUUACACCAGAUUCACGUCAAGAGAUGUUUUUUGUGACUUCUGGGAGGUUAUUCAACCAUCUACCUCCAUGUUGGUUUAUUGGUCGAAAGCUCAGAAAAAGAAACAAACAUUUGAACCCAUUUCUCCCAGUCCAACGUGUAGACUGCAACUGGUUGAGUUUUUUCUCUUCUGCUGCCGGGUUGCUGCAGGCAUGCAAGAGAAGGUGCUGGCUGACAUGUUUCAGAGCUGACUGAAUGAAGUGGACUGCUGGAUUUACUGGAGCCAGGAGAUGGCUGCAUGGCAGACAAGGGUUUCACCAUCGAGAAGCCACUAGCUGAUCGUGGGGCAACGCUGAUUAUACCACCCUUCAAGAUGACAGUUCACUGAAGAGGAUGCUCUGAAAACACCAGCAAUCGCUCAACUUCGAAUCCUCGUAGAAAGAGCAAUAGGCAGAGUCAAGGAAUAACGCAUCUGGGAACGCACUGUCCUCUCACCUUGUCUGCGACAGUCAAUCAGCUGUGGACCGUCUGCUGUGUGAUGACCAACUUCCAGGGACCACUUGAUUUAAAAG